rnacentral:lncRNA from 1 species
ACUUUUGACCUAUAUCAUUGAUCAAGUGAUUUUGCCAAACUCCAAAAAUGCAUAACUCUAUCAUUUCAAAUCCAAAUGACAUGAAAUUGGUUACCAUUUUGAAGGUCUUUGAGAGAGAUACAACUUUUAUGAAGACACUUUUUCUCAUUUAAAACUCCUAUAAAAAGUUAAGCAAGGUGGAAUAUUGAGACAUAUGGCUUGAC